rnacentral:rRNA from 1 species
AGCAGUAGCCGCGGUAAUACGAAGGGGGCUAGCGUUGUUCGGAUUUACUGGGCGUAAAGCGCACGUAGGCGGACUUUUAAGUCAGGGGUGAAAUCCCGGGGCUCAACCCCGGAACUGCCUUUGAUACUGGAAGUCUUGAGUAUGGUAGAGGUGAGUGGAAUUCCGAGUGUAGAGGUGAAAUUCGUAGAUAUUCGGAGGAACACCAGUGGCGAAGGCGGCUCACUGGACCAUUACUGACGCUGAGGUGCGAAAGCGUGGGGAGCAAACAGGAUUAGAUACCCCUGUAGUCCCUGUCUCUUAUAC